CACUUUGAUUUCUGCUUGUGCCAGUUAGUCAGUUAGUUCAAGGUAAUAUGUGACCUGUUUUAUAGCAGCCCUUGGUUGCUUGCUUGCUCUCCUUCUCUACUUGAUAAUGUGAGAGGCUGUGCUGAUGGGGCAGAGAUGCACGGUUCUAAAAAUGGCAGGAGUGAGGGAGAAGCAAGGCACUACCAGAUCUCCCAGGGCUUCUGAAGACAUGAACAACUUUCAAGAGCUUUUGUCUUAUUUUUAAGAUAACUAUGAAGUUCUUGCUUGGCUUUUUCUUGUCGUUUCUCCAACGUUUGUGCCACGAGGUGGCAAUGUUGUCACCCAUGUCAUUUCACUGUGGUGCCUUGAGUGGUAAUAUUUCAAUCUCAGUGCUGCUGUCCUUUUCUGAAGCUUCAGUUGUGCUUUUGCUACUGAUAGAUGCUGCUGUUGGAGCAGACACUUGCUUCUUUACUACAUAAUAAAAUUUGAGGAUUGCCAUGUAUAACACAGAAUGAGUCAGCUUUGAAGUUCUCUGAUCUCUUUCCUUUUCUUUUUGUAAGCCAUAUGGACUAAACUAAACUGCUGACAAGAUGUCUCUUGGCACUCGUUUCCCAAGAUGUCUCUGUGAAAUUUUCAGAUGUGUUUUGUAGACCUCAUGAUCUGUAAAUUAACUGCAGACUUGAUGAGGCAGGAAAAUGGGAAAGAGUGGCUGUAUUCCCUGAAGAGUGGGAGAUGAUUUAAAGGAAGCACAGCAGGAGGAAGUCUGGGAUUCUGCAAUGGUGAGGGGUCCUUGGGGCUCUUCUGGGUGCCUUGGGGAUUACCCUUCUCCCUUGACUCAAUUACUAGCACAUUAUACCCCUUGACACAAAAUGGACAAGAGAACAUGCUCUUCCUGCUUGAACCUCCACACAGACAUCAGAAAUAAGCAACUUUGACUAGCUUCUUUCAUCGCAGGAGCUAUGUUGCUUGCAAAGAGAGGGCAUUGUGCUGACUGGCAUGAAAUGAUCUGCAGGAGUCCUUGGAUCACUUGGCAAUACUGAGCUUCUUUGUGGCAAUAGAUUUUCUGUUAAAAUUUACUCCUCAGAGGUGCUGAAGAUACCUGAGGGUUUACCUUUAAGUAAAGUGACUGGGAGCACAGAGGCUCCCUUCUGGAAGCAGGCACCAGGAAGUCAAUAGAAAGCUGUCCCCAGCAUUCUUCACCUGGCACCACCUUGUGAACAAGCACCAAGUCUCAAUGAAUGAGAAGUGACUCACGACUUCCACAUGGAGGAUGGUGUCUCUUUGAUCCACUCUGGAGCCUCAGCAGGAAUCUGAAUUCAUCCUGCAGGUCUUCUCCUGGAAGCAUGUUGUUUGACAGAUGCAAAUAAUGGCUGGCAUGUGAAGAGGAGCUGGAUGAUGAAGUAUACUGCAACAGUAAUACUGACAUGAAAUUCAAAGGAAUUCUUGGCAAACGAAAUAAUCAGCUAGAGCAAGACACGCUACUGCUGAAUAUAUAUAUAUACUGGAGGUUUUCUGGAUAUAGGGGUUGCACACAUUAAGUAUGCAGCUGGGGUAGGGUAGGUACUCGUCAGCCUCACUGCACGUGUUCUGCAUUUUCAGGAUUUCUGUCCAGAUGGGGACAUCUACUUAGAAAAGCAGGAAAAACAAAUACUUCUUGAGCACCUGGGAAGGGUGAUGUGCGUGAGUUUAGCAUAGGGCUCUGCAGUCAAGACCUGAUCAGAACCUCAGUCUCCUAAAGCCCAGGCUUGAACCUGGACAAUGAGCUUCUCUCUGCCAUGUGUACUAAAGUGCUACUGCUCUGUAGUUCAUGUACUGUUGCGAGCCAGAUUUUUCUGAUAAACAAUGCUUCUUCUUCGCUGGCAUCCAGGAGCUUGAGUUACGAUCCUGUCCCAAGGUUGGUAGCUUGUAAGGAGCCAGUGAUCACUGAGCAGUUCUUCUGUAUCUUGCUAUCUGUACAUGCACACCCUCACACUACCUUUUCCUCUCCUCCCCCCAUGCCAUCUUCCUCAAAAAAAAGUUGAAAUAUUGCACUGAGAAAGGGAAAAA